CUUCUGUAAUUUCCAAGUGUGGACCUCAUGCUGACCCCAGCAGCCCUCACCGAGCAGGCAAGCCGACAGUGAGUGGCCGAGGGGCCGGCAGGUGCACAGCGGGACGCUCCUGCUCUCCAAGGCCAGGGGGACUGGCCUCUCACUGGAGUCGCCUUAUAUCUCUUCAGGGUUUCUGGUGAAGUGAGGCCACUUGAUGCUGCUGACCAAUCAUUACCCCAUACACUCAGGCACAGGGAUCCUCUUACAGCUGCCAGGGGGGCCCAGGGACCACACCCACCCCACAAGGAAGCCGAGGCCCCAAAGGGACUGGUUUGCCGGAGGCCCUUCUAGAGCGGUGGCAGGAGGGUCAGACCCAGGGCCCCAGCCCUCGUGCCUUGCUGCCUAUCUGCAUUGGGGGCCAGAGGUGCUGGCAGUCUCCUGAGGGAGCGCAGCCUGGCAGGUGCCGUGCAGGUCCGGGGCCCUGCGGCGGCUUUUUGUGCCAUUGGAGGGGUUCCCUCCACCUGACCCACUGACGGACUGUCAUUCCCUACAGGGCCUGGAAGAGAAGUACCCUGAGAAGCACUGAGCGCUCCAAACGUCAGACACAACAUUGCCACACUGCCUGAGCUGGGCCUGCAAGAUGAGUCCAUCCACCACGGACAGAUGGAGCGGGUAAGGAAGACCCCACACGCCUCAAGGGAUUCUGAGAAGCCUGCCAGCCUAUUCGUGCACAGAAAGGCUCAACGCCACUGGAACAGCAAAAACAAAAAAGUAUCUUGCACACGGUUGUCCUGGCAACAGUGAUACUUUUUGAG